GGUGAAAAGCACCCCGGAAGGGGAGUGAAAUAGAACCUGAAACCGUGUGCUUACAAGUAGUCAGAGCCCGUUAAUGGGUGAUGGCGUGCCUUUUGUAGAAUGAACCGGCGAGUUACGAUUUGAUGCAAGGUUAAGCAGUAAAUGUGGAGCCGUAGCGAAAGCGAGUCUGAAUAGGGCGUUUAGUAUUUGGUCGUAGACCCGAAACCAGGUGAUCUACCCUUGGUCAGGUUGAAGUUCAGGUAACACUGAAUGGAGGACCGAACCGACUUACGUUGAAAAGUGAGCGGAUGAACUGAGGGUAGCGGAGAAAUUCCAAUCGAACCUGGAGAUAGCUGGUUCUCUCCGAAAUAGCUUUAGGGCUAGCCUCAAGUGAUGAUUAUUGGAGGUAGAGCACUGUUUGGACGAGGGGCCCCUCUCGGGUUACCGAAUUCAGACAAACUCCGAAUGCCAAUUAAUUUAACUUGGGAGUCAGAACAUGGGUGAUAAGGUCCGUGUUCGAAAGGGAAACAGCCCAGACCACCAGCUAAGGUCCCAAAAUAUAUGUUAAGUGGAAAAGGAUGUGGCGUUGCCCAGACAACUAGGAUGUUGGCUUAGAAGCAGCCAUCAUUUAAAGAGUGCGUAAUAGCUCACUAGUCGAGUGACACUGCGCCGAAAAUGUACCGGGGCUAAACAUAUUACCGAAGCUGUGGAUUGUCCUUUGGACAAUGGUAGGAGAGCGUUCUAAGGGCGUUGAAGCAUGAUCGUAAGGACAUGUGGAGCGCUUAGAAGUGAGAAUGCCGGUGUGAGUAGCGAAAGACGGGUGAGAAUCCCGUCCACCGAUUGACUAAGGUUUCCAGAGGAAGGCUCGUCCGCUCUGGGUUAGUCGGGUCCUAAGCUGAGGCCGACAGGCGUAGGCGAUGGAUAACAGGUUGAUAUUCCUGUACCACCUAUAAUCGUUUUAAUCGAUGGGGGGACGCAGUAGGAUAGGCGAAGCGUGCGAUUGGAUUGCACGUCUAAGCAGUAAGGCUGAGUAUUAGGCAAAUCCGGUACUCAUUAAGGCUGAGCUGUGAUGGGGAGAAGACAUUGUGUCUUCGAGUCGUUGAUUUCACACUGCCGAGAAAAGCCUCUAGAUAGAAAAUAGGUGCCCGUACCGCAAACCGACACAGGUAGUCAAGAUGAGAAUUCUAAGGUGAGCGAGCGAACUCUCGUUAAGGAACUCGGCAAAAUGACCCCGUAACUUCGGGAGAAGGGGUGCUCUUUAGGGUUAACGCCCAGAAGAGCCGCAGUGAAUAGGCCCAAGCGACUGUUUAUCAAAAACACAGGUCUCUGCUAAACCGUAAGGUGAUGUAUAGGGGCUGACGCCUGCCCGGUGCUGGAAGGUUAAGAGGAGUGGUUAGCUUCUGCGAAGCUACGAAUCGAAGCCCCAGUAAACGGCGGCCGUAACUAUAACGGUCCUAAGGUAGCGAAAUUCCUUGUCGGGUAAGUUCCGACCCGCACGAAAGGCGUAACGAUUUGGGCACUGUCUCAACGAGAGACUCGGUGAAAUCAUAGUACCUGUGAAGAUGCAGGUUACCCGCGACAGGACGGAAAGACCCCGUGGAGCUUUACUGUAGCCUGAUAUUGAAAUUCGGCACAGCUUGUACAGGAUAGGUAGGAGCCUUUGAAACGUGAGCGCUAGCUUACGUGGAGGCGCUGGUGGGAUACUACCCUAGCUGUGUUGGCUUUCUAACCCGCACCACUUAUCGUGGUGGGAGACAGUGUCAGGCGGGCAGUUUGACUGGGGCGGUCGCCUCCUAAAAGGUAACGGAGGCGCUCAAAGGUUCCCUCAGAAUGGUUGGAAAUCAUUCAUAGAGUGUAAAGGCAUAAGGGAGCUUGACUGCGAGACCUACAAGUCGAGCAGGGUCGAAAGACGGACUUAGUGAUCCGGUGGUUCCGCAUGGAAGGGCCAUCGCUCAACGGAUAAAAGCUACCCCGGGGAUAACAGGCUUAUCUCCCCCAAGAGUUCACAUCGACGGGGAGGUUUGGCACCUCGAUGUCGGCUCAUCGCAUCCUGGGGCUGUAGUCGGUCCCAAGGGUUGGGCUGUUCGCCCAUUAAAGCGGUACGCGAGCUGGGUUCAGAACGUCGUGAGACAGUUCGGUCCCUAUCCGUCGUGGGCGUAGGAAAUUUGAGAGGAGCUGUCCUUAGUACGAG
rnacentral:rRNA from 1 species